ACUAUCACCGUCCACCGUCGGAGGCUUGAAGAAAAUUCUACCAUUCGCGGAUGAACGAGGCUGAAGGAGACUGACGCCUCCGGUUGAAACCGGUCGUGGAACAAGAAUAUCCAAUUCUGAACCGUUUGUAGUCGAGAGACAAAGAAUGUGUUUGCCCGUUCGCGGAUGGGGACCAGGGCGAGAAAGCUUGUUCAUGUCUUGCCCGCACACGGAUGACAAUGGUGAAGGCCACGACCGUCUACGGUUGAGACCAGAAACACAUGGCAAACAUCAGUUAAAACGCUGAAUGAAUUGUAGGGCAUUUUUAAUGAAGGGAUACGAGAUUUUAGGUGGAGAACUCUCUGCUAGGGUGUGAAAACACUUAAAAUGCGAGCUAGGGCUCCUUAUUUGGGGAUCUGGUCACACAUAAGUGCUGGAGAUGGCUGAAGAUGGAGUUGAAGAGCACAUGUUCUGAUCUGGGAGGAACGAUCACUGAUCUAGAUCCCGCAAUGGAAGAAAAUAAGAGUAAUUGGCAUACGCUAAUAACCUUGUUCAAUUCGUUGGCUUUUGAUAAUCACAAAGACACCCAUUAGUCAUUCAAGUUCUUACAUAUUUUGCUUCAUUUUCCCAUCCACUAGGCAAGCAACAACGAAAUCAAAGAAUUACACGGCUAUCGACCACCCAGAAAGCGAGCUUGGUUUCGUAUUCAAGCUUGGUCAAUUUGUAGCUUGUUAGCUAUCGCAAUCUCAGUCAUGUUCGUAAAACUUUCAUCCACUAGUCAAACAGUCACUGGUAAAACUAAAGUCCAACCAUCAAGUUGGGGGAGUAAAAAGGAGAUUGGAAGUACCUGCCAGCAGACACGUCGUAGAUCUGGCUUCUGAUUGACACUAAGAUAGGUUUAUUGGGGUCGGAGCCAUUAUAGGUUCGCAAUUCCUGAUCAGUCAUUUCUCCCAUUUGGACCGGUUCAGGAGCGUCGACGUUCACGCCAUCCAACCCAAUAUUGUUUGGAGCGGUGAUGGUUGGGGGCUUAUUGUAAUCUUCAGGAGAAACAAACAUCCCGCAGACCGUUUGGUACACCAUAACCAUCAUAACCAGAAUGGUAAAGAAGGCCGUAGGAGAUAGGCCUGUGUAGCACGUUAUCGCCUCCAUUACCGUCGAGUGUACGCCCAUUUGUCAGAUUGCUAAAGCUCUAGGUUACUCUGUGACUGUGUGAAGGAGCCUUGGGGAACGAGAAGUAUGGGAAAUCGGAAUUGAAGCUGGCGAUGGAGAAGAAGAGACGAGAGUUCUCGGCUUCUCGGAAUAGAAGCAGCUAGGGGAAGAAAGGGCCGACGACACCUAAUUUGCCCCACCUACCCACCACCCAUUUGACGGUUGACAUUCCGUGAGCAUGAAACAAGUCAUCCAAUGGCUUAUGGUUUAUGUUAACCAAAAUUUAUAUUUUUACAAUUUUUAACAAUUAAAAAGUUGGAAAAACUAUUCAUAAACAUCAAGUUUAGAAAAUGUUUAUUUUUACUGUAAA